rnacentral:rRNA from 1 species
GAGUUUGAUCUUGGCUCAGAUUGAACGCUGGCGGCAGGCCUAACACAUGCAAGUCGAGCGGAUGACGGGAGCUUGCUCCUUGAUUCAGCGGCGGACGGGUGAGUAAUGCCUGGGAAUCUGCCUGGUAGUGGGGGACAACGUUUCGAAAGGAACGCUAAUACCGCAUACGUCCUACGGGAGAAAGCAGGGGACCUUCGGGCCUUGCGCUAUCAGAUGAGCCUAGGUCGGAUUAGCUAGUUGGUGGGGUAAUGGCUCACCAAGGCGACGAUCCGUAACUGGUCUGAGAGGAUGAUCAGUCACACUGGAACUGAGACACGGUCCAGACUCCUACGGGAGGCAGCAGUGGGGAAUAUUGGACAAUGGGCGAAAGCCUGAUCCAGCCAAUGCCGCGUGUGUGAAGAAGGUCUUCGGAUUGUAAAGCACUUUAAGUUGGGAGGAAGGGCAGUAAGUUAAUACCUUGCUGUUUUGACGUUACCGACAGAAUAAGCACCGGCUAACUCUGUGCCAGCAGCCG